AUGCUUCCGUCAAAAGGGGAUGCAAAUUUUGAAUGGGGUCUUAAUUGUAAUGCUAUGGAACACGCGAAAGAAAAAUGCAUUUCGUGUAAAAUAAUAUGCGUUUGCUGCCUGAUCGGACUCGGGGGGCAUUUGUUUAAUACUGCGCGUUCGUACACGGGAAAAUCCAGACUCAUAACUGCAUUGCUUGCGAGCGGUUGUGUGGGAUUAGCUGUGGGAGAGCUCUUUGACAAGUCACCCUUUAGGAGUUAUGAGUCACAACUUGGCAACGAAAGUAGCGGUAGAUCCUAAAAUUUCCGCUUACUUGAUGAUUUUUUUAGUUGCAACAUGUUUGUAUGUUUGCACCUUUGUGUUUGUGGGGUACGUUUUGGAUAUGUUCUAGACGUGAUCAUUACUUAUUAAAUCUAAACUUGUCUGUGAACAUUUAUGUGGUUGUUAAAUUACCUCUAUGUUUACAAAUAAAUUUUUAUUACAGGA